UAUACUUUCUGUCAAUUACAACAAUUAUUUUUAGAAUAUCAUCGUCUAGCUGGAAGAGAUUUUGAAGAUGUUAUCAAAAGUGAAUUCAUUGGAGAUAUUGUGAAUGAGUCUAGAGCAGUUGUAAAAUCCGUAAGAGACAAAAGUGUAUACUUUGCCAAAUGUUUGCUUGGAAGCAAGCCUGGUUUUGGCACAGAUACCAGACCAUUGAUUCGUAUUUCGUUGAAAUUAAAAAUGUUUACAUGUCAAUGUGAGGGAGGUCUUUGCUGGCUGAUCACUGUAAAUUGGUGAAAAAUGAUGUAUGGUGGCCUGUCAAUACCAAAAUAUACAUCUAGAUUCAAGGGCUGGCAAUC